CAUCACCAGGUCCUCGAACACAUCACCCUCCUGUGUCCUCGGAACAUUCUCCUGCCCCUCAGCGUUCUCUCUAAAACCCAGGGUGCCCAGAAUGGAAUCUAACACAGCGACAGACGGCAAUACUAACGGCAGCUGGGAUCGACGGGCAGGUGUCUCUCGUGGGCCCAUCGUCUAGGGGCUGAGCUGCCGAGAAAAUGAUAACUUCAUCAGCUGUGGAAAAUCUGGUAUACACACUUUUGGAGGAGGAGGCCCUAGACUUCACCAGAGUCAUUGCCCAAGGAGCCCGUGGCACCAAAACAGGGAAGACCCUUGGGCUCAGCUGAUCCC
rnacentral:lncRNA from 1 species